GUGCUCACAUUGCAGCACAAACACUAAAAUUAGACAAUAAACAGAAGACUAGCAUGGCCCCUGCACAGGAUGACAUGCAAAUUUGUAAAGCACUUCAUAUUUUU
rnacentral:snRNA from 1 species